AGAGUUUGAUCCUGGCUCAGAAUCAACGCUGGCGGCGUGCCUCAGACAUGCAAGUCGAACGCGAAAGUCCCCUUCGGGGGAUUAGUAGAGUGGCGCCCGGGUGAGUAACACGUAGGUAAUCUACCUUUGGGUGGGGAAUAACGCAGGGAAACUUGCGCUAAUACCGCAUAAUGCAGCGGCACCACAUGGUGACAGUUGUUAAAGCGGGGGAUUUUCGAACCUCGCGCCUGAAGAGGAGCCUGCGGCAGAUUAGCUAGUUGGUAGGGUAACGGCUUACCAAGGCGACGAUCUGUAGCCGGCCUGAGAGGGCGGUCGGCCACACUGACACUGACACACGGGUCAGACUCCUACGGGAGGCAGCAGUCGGGAAUUUUGGGCAAUGGGCGAAAGCCUGACCCAGCAACGCCGCGUGAAGGAUGAAAUCCUUCGGGAUGUAAACUUCGCAAGAAUAGGAAGAAUGAGUAGGGGCUAAUACUCCCUAUGAUGACGGUACUAUUUGUAAGCUCCGGCUAACUCCGUGCCAGCAGCCGCGGUAAU
rnacentral:rRNA from 1 species